rnacentral:rRNA from 1 species
AUACGUAGGUGGCAAGCGUUAUCCGGAUUUACUGGGCGUAAAGGGCGUGUAGGCGGUCUUGCAAGUCAGAAGUGAAAUUCCUGAGCUCAACUCGGGCGCUGCUUCUGAAACUGCAGGACUUGAGUGCUGGAGGGGAUAGCGGAAUUCCUAGUGGAGCGGUAAAAUGCGCAGAUAUUAGGAAGAACACCGGUGGCGAAGGCGGCAAUCUGGACAGUAACUGACGCUGAGGCGCGGAAGCGUGGGGAGCAAACAGGAUUAGAUACCCGGGUAGUCCACGCCGUAAACGAUGAAUACUAGGUGUAGGGGGUAUCGACUCCCUCUGUGCCGCAGUUAACACAAUAAGUAGUCCGCCUGGGGAGUACGGCCGCAAGGUUGAAACUCAAAUGAAUUGGCGGGG